CCUACGGGUGGCAGCAGUCGGGAAUAUUGGGCAAUGGAGGAAACUCUGACCCAGCAAUACCGCGUGAAGGAUGAAGGUUUUCGGAUUGUAAACUUCUGUUAUAAAGGAAGAAAAAAAUGACGGUAAUUAAUAAGUAAGCUCCGGUAAACUACGGGCCAGCAGCCGCGGUGAUACAUAGGGGGCAAGCGUUUACCGGAAUGACUGGGUGUAAAGGGUGUGUAGGUGGCUUAUUAAGUUAGAGGUGAAAGCCCGAUGCUCAACUUCGGAACUGCCUGUAAUACUGGUUGGCUUGGGUGUGGGAGAGGGUAGUGGAACGCCAAGUGUAGCGGUGGAAUGCGUAGAGAUUAGGAAGAACAUCAGAGGCGAAGGCGACUAACUGGAACAUUACUGACACUGAAACACGAAAGCGUGGGGAGCAAACAGGAUUAGAUACCCUAGUAGUC
rnacentral:rRNA from 1 species